UACGUAGGGGGCUAGCGUUGUCCGGAUUUAUUGGGCGUAAAGAGCGUGUAGGCGGCCAGAUAAGUCCGCUGUGAAAACUCGAGGCUCAACUUCGAGCUGUCGGUGGAAACUAUUUGGCUAGAGUCCGGAAGAGGAGAGUGGAAUUCCUGGUGUAGCGGUGAAAUGCGCAGAUAUCAGGAAGAACACCCGUGGCGAAGGCGGCCUUCUGGACAGUGACUGACGCUGAGACGCGAAAGCGUGGGGAGCAAACAGG
rnacentral:rRNA from 1 species